AUUGAACGCUGGCGGCAUGCCUUACACAUGCAAGUCGAACGGCAGCACGGGAGCAAUCCUGGUGGCGAGUGGCGAACGGGUGAGUAAUAUAUCGGAACGUGCCCAGUCGUGGGGAUAACGUAGCGAAAGCUACGCUAAUACCGCAUACGAUCUAUGGAUGAAAGCGGGGGAUCGCAAGACCUCGCGCGAUUGGAGCGGCCGAUAUCAGAUUAGGUAGUUGGUGAGGUAAAGGCUCACCAAGCCGACGAUCUGUAGCUGGUCUGAGAGGACGACCAGCACACUGGGACUGAGACACGGCCCAGACUCCUACGGGAGGCAGCAGUGGGGAAUUUUGGACAAUGGCGCAAGCCUGAUCCAGCAAUGCCGCGUGCAGGAUGAAGGCCUCGGUUGUAA
rnacentral:rRNA from 1 species